rnacentral:rRNA from 1 species
UGCAGUCGAGGGGUAACAUGAUUUGCUUGCAAAUUGAUGACGACCGGCGCACGGGUGCGUAACGCGUAUAUAACUUGCCUCAUACUGGAGAAUAGCCCGAAGAAAUUCGGAUUAAUGCUCCAUGGUAUUAUAAAGUAGCAUUGCUUAAUAAUUAAAGAUUUAUCGGUAUGAGAUGGAUAUGCGUCCCAUUAGCUAGUUGGUGCAGGUAACGGCUCACCAAGGCGACGAUGGGUAGGGGUUCUGAGAGGAAGGUCCCCCACACUGGCACUGAGAUACGGGCCAGACUCCUACGGGAGGCAGCAGUAGGGAAUAUUGGUCAAUGGAGGCAACUCUGAACCAGCCAUGCCGCGUGAACGAUGAAGGCCUUCGGGUCGUAAAGUUCUUUUGUAUGGGAAGAAACACACCCCUGCGGGGGUGCUUGACGGUACCAUAAGAAUAAGCACCGGCUAACUCCGUGCCAGCAGCCGCGGUAAUACGGAGGGUGCAAGCGUUGUCCGGAAUUAUUGGGUUUAAAGGGUGCGCAGGUGGUCCUGCCAGUCAGAGGUUAAAGACCGGGGCUUAACUCCGAGUUUGCCUUUGAUACUACAGGACUUGAAAUACGUAUGGGUAGGCGGAAUUCCUCAUGUAGCGGUGAAAUGCACAGAUAUGAGGAGGAAGACCGAAGGCGAAGGCAGCUUACUGGGCGUUAUUUGACACUGAGGCACGAAAGCGUGGGGAGCGAACAGG